CAAAAUACACUGAGUUAUUCCACUGUAUAAUCUUUUUUCUCAACCUUCUUUCUCUCUUAUCCCUCAAAUCUCUCUCUCCUUUCCCCUCACUCUUCUCUGUCGGCAACAGAGAAGUCACCGCUGGCCGUCUUCUUCGGCGGAGUUCUACGAAGUCCAACUAAACAGCCGCCUCUUUCUCUCUUCCCCACACACAUCACACCCUCCGUGGUAUACCCUCCUCAUUGCGAAUCACCCUUAAAAAUCAUCGCGCACCAUCAGAUCUAGAUCAAAAAUCAGGAAGUUGUGAUCAAUCCAUUACCAACGGCGAAAACAAUAGAGGAGGAAGACCAGAGGCGUCACCGGAUCCGGAUCAAGUGGAGAUGUCAGAACUCAUGGCUUCUUCUUCUUUUUUGUAUAUCACAUCUGAAUGUAUUCGUCUAACUUGAGACUUAUUCCUCCACUACUAUUUUUCACGUAAAAAAAUUGUUGCCUUUUUCUUCUCCACUGCCACUCACGUCAGAAAAUCGUAUUUAAAUACAGUGUAUCUUGUAUUUUCCUUAGAAAUUUAAAGUGCAUUUUAGAUGUUUGCCAGAGAUCCGAUGGAGUUUGAUUGUAUUCUUCAUUUUAUAAAUACAGUAUAUUUUGGAUUCUCGUCGGAUCUGCACUCUUUAUUUUAUAGUUAAAUACAAUUAAUUUUUAAAAGUGUUUGAAUAUAUACUUUAUUUUUUUAGUGUAAAUAUAGAGAUAUUUUAUAUUUUGCCCGAGAUUCGACUGGUAUUGAUUGUAUUCUUCCUUUUUAAAU
rnacentral:lncRNA from 1 species